rnacentral:rRNA from 1 species
GAUGAACGCUGGCGGCGUGCCUAAUACAUGCAAGUCGAGCGAACAGACGAGGAGCUUGCUCCUCUGACGUUAGCGGCGGACGGGUGAGUAACACGUGGAUAACCUACCUAUAAGACUGGGAUAACUUCGGGAAACCGGAGCUAAUACCGGAUAAUAUAUUGAACCGCAUGGUUCAAUAGUGAAAGACGGUUUUGCUGUCACUUAUAGAUGGAUCCGCGCCGCAUUAGCUAGUUGGUAAGGUAACGGCUUACCAAGGCAACGAUGCGUAGCCGACCUGAGAGGGUGAUCGGCCACACUGGAACUGAGACACGGUCCAGACUCCUACGGGAGGCAGCAGUAGGGAAUCUUCCGCAAUGGGCGAAAGCCUGACGGAGCAACGCCGCGUGAGUGAUGGAGGUCUUCGGAUCGUAAAGCUCUGUUAUUAGGGAAGAACAAAUGUGUAAGUAACUAUGCACGUCUUGACGGUACCUACUCAGAAAGCCACGGCUAACUACGUG